rnacentral:rRNA from 1 species
UACGAAGGGGACUAGCGUUGUUCGGAAUUACUGGGCGUAAAGGGCGCGUAGGCGGUUCGUUAAGUCCUGUGUGAAAUCCCCCGGCUCAACUGGGGAACUGCACAGGAAACUAGCGGGCUUGAGUUCGGGAGAGGGAAGCGGAAUUCCUGGUGUAGCGGUGAAAUGCGCAGAUAUCAGGAGGAACACCAAUUGCGAAGGCAGCUCGCUGGGACGUAACUGACGCUGAGACGCGAAAGCGUGGGGAGCAAACAGG